rnacentral:lncRNA from 1 species
GUGGAGGCCGCGCAGGCGCACGGUAGUAGCUGCAAUGGCGCUGCCGGGCUCCUUGAAUCGCUAUCUCUUGCUCAUGGCACAGGAGCAUCUGGAGUUCCGCUUACCGGAAAUAAAGUCUUUACUAUCGGUGUUUGGAGGGCAGUUCACUAACAGUCAGGAAACUUAUGGAAAGGUAAGGUGAUUUUAUUUAUUUAUUUAUUUAUUUUUAAAGGGAAUAGGAGGUGGUUUAUUUUGGAGCCAUUUUGAAUGGUUAUGGCCUGGGAACACAUAUUUAGGUUACCCCAAAUUCCGUGUUGCAAUGAAGCAGUUCUCCUGGUUUUACAGAACAAAGGAAGUCAUAAAUUAAGGUAAGCUGAAAUAUGUCCUACUAUACGUCAGAGAGGUGGUUUGUAGCAAGAUGCAGGAAGCAUCUUUACAGGCCUGAGAUGCUAUCGGACGACAUCCUUAGCUUUUGCAUGGCGGGGCAAGCGUUUUUUAUCUAUUAGUGCAGUAUGUUAGUUUCUACACAGAGACGGGGAGGAUGCUAAAGGAAGCCCAACACAGGCACUGCAGUUCUCAUCAGUCAUUGGUCUCUGUGGACACAGCUUCUUUCCUGAGUUCUUGCUCACAGUUGCCCCAGUUGGCCAAGCCUCACAGUUGUGCAUACAGGGGCCAGGAAUGCUCAUUGCCAGUGUCUGUUGUAGAUGCGGCUGAGAAACGGUCAGGGCAGCUGUUUUCAGGAGAGGAAUAGUGGUUAAGAUCUUUAACCAAGAAACUUGUGGAUUAUAUCAAAGUUGUAAAUCAUCAUGAUCCAUCAAGAUGUACUUUCUUUCCUUUUCCCGUAUCUGUUACAGCAUUUACGUGUGACAUGUGCUUAAGUAAUUAAGAGCACUGUUUGGCGUAACAGAGUGGAGGUAACAGAUGAAGGAACAUGCAUUUAAAAUACCUAGAAUGAACGUAUGUUCAAGUAGAUUGACUGUGGCUCCUCCUAUAUUUACAGCUGCUUGUGCUCUGUCUUAUGCGUAUUUGAAUGGUUAGAAAUGGGACUUCAGAAGAGUUUCUGUAAUAAUAACCCCCUUUUGAGUUAUUUUAAUCCUUGCUAAUUGUACUAUAGGACAUUUUAGAUACUAAUGGAAUCAAGAGCUUUCAGUACUUAUUAUUAGAGAUUGGUAUCUUUUGUAUAAUCUGGAUAAAAAGAGUUAAUCCAAAUUUUUGAGUAUCUGCUAGAGUAAAAGUUUAUUUUAAUAACUAGGUUUAUUUUAUACAAAUUAUACUGAAUUAUGGGAAUAUAUUUGUAAUCACAUAAUAUACACGCAGGCACAGUGGGAACACUUGAAUUUUUUAAAUAGUAGUUUUAAAUAAGGUAAGGGUUUAAGGUAAACACACAACAUAAAGACAUGGUCAAGAGAAAGGGCAUUUAUAGAUUUAUAAAAAUAAAGAUUUACAUUAUUUUAUCACAUAGAAAUAUACCAGAAGCACAUGCCUUUAAUCCUAGAACUUAGAAGGCAAAGGCUAGAAUAUCUCUGAGUUCAAGGCUAGCCUUGUCUACAUGGUAAGUUUCAGAAUAGCCAUGAUUAUGUAGGGUGACCGUCUCUCACCCCCAACC